UCAGUCCAGGGCUUAGUCAGCGGGGCCCGGAGUGGCUUCCCUGGCUGGCACCUGGACUUCGCC
rnacentral:miRNA from 14 species